AAUUUUUUUACAACAGAGGGAUCAAGCGGUUGGACGCUAAAUUGUCACCACAACCAUUUAAAAGCUUUAUAAAUAGAUCCAUGUCUCUGAGUACUCGUAACUUGUGCAGAAUUCCUUUGAGUAAUUCACUUCUCUUAGCAGAACACGACGAAAAAUGGAUAUGGAGUUUAAGAAAGUGAGAUAAAUUUUUGGAUCUGUAAGUUUAAAUUCUAAAUGUGUGUUAUUGUGAGUUUGAUGAAUUUCUGAUUCAUCAAAUGGAGAAGCUCAAUUCACGAUUCUAUUUAUUUCCAAAAUACCCUGAAGACUCCAAAGAAAGCAGCAAGUGAAGAGAUAAGGCCUCUCAUUCACAUUAGGGCGGAUGCAUUCCCAUUGUAACGACGGCGGAGGGUGCCUCCGGGUCGUAGCGGAUCUUCCCUGCACCAUUGAUACCAUCGAAAGAGAGAAGAGGAAGAAGGCAGUUGAAAAUGAUUUUCUGUAUCAGUCUAAUGGAAUAGUGUAUUGUUAUAUGUACAGUAAUUAACUUAACUACUGGGACCCACAUAUAUAACUAACCAACUAACUACACCUAACACUAACUACAUAUAUAAUUUGUC
rnacentral:lncRNA from 1 species